GUAGUUUUAAUUAUAAAAAAAUAAGCCCAUCAUCGGACUAAUUCCCAGUUUUACCAGUCUAACCAGCUGAUCUAGACCAGUUUCAAAACACGGUACCCAACAAAUUCACCACUGGCCUACAAGCCAAAUCUCAGUUCUUCUCCUAUUCAACAACCAGUUCAUGGUUCAGACCUUGGUCUUGGCAGUGAGGAGUCUAAUCAUAACCGUGCACCUUUUUAAGUGUUACAAUAAAGAAAACAAUCACAUGAAAAAUAAGAAUUCUAAUCCUUUGUUGCUUGCUUAGCUCACCUUAAGUUCUCUUCUUGCAGUU
rnacentral:misc_RNA from 1 species